rnacentral:rRNA from 1 species
GUCGGGAAUCUUGGGCAAUGGGCGCAAGCCUGACCCAGCGACGCCGCGUGAGGGAUGAAGGCCUUCGGGUCGUAAACCUCUGUCGGGAGGGAAGAACGUCGGCAGGGUGAAUAAUCCUGUCGGUUGACGGUACCUCCAAAGGAAGCGCCGGCUAACUCCGUGCCAGCAGCCGCGGUAAUACGGAGGGCGCAAGCGUUGUUCGGAAUCACUGGGCGUAAAGCGCGUGUAGGCGGCCGGGCAAGUCGGAUGUGAAAUCCCGAGGCUCAACCUCGGAACUGCAUUCGAAACUGCUCGGCUCGAGUCCCGGAGAGGAUGGCGGAAUUCCCGGUGUAGGGGUGAAAUCCGUAGAUAUCGGGAGGAACACCAGUGGCGAAGGCGGCCAUCUGGACGGUGACUGACGCUGAGACGCGAAAGCGUGGGGAGCAAACAGGAUUAGAAACCCUAGUAGUCC